rnacentral:rRNA from 1 species
CCUACGGGGGGCAGCAGUGGGGGAUAUUGCACAAUGGGGGGAACCCUGAUGCAGCGACGCCGCGUGGGUGAAGAAGCGCCUCGGCGCGUAAAGCCCUGUCAGCAGGGAAGAAAAUGACGGUACCUGAAGAAGAAGCCCCGGCUAACUACGUGCCAGCAGCCGCGGUAAUACGUAGGGGGCAAGCGUUAUCCGGAUUUACUGGGUGGAAAGGGGGCGCAGACGGCGAUGCAAGCCAGGAGUGAAAGCCCGGGGCCCAACCCCGGGACUGCUCUUGGAACUGCGUGGCUGGAGUGCAGGAGGGGCAGGCGGAAUUCCUGGUGUAGCGGUGAAAUGCGUAGAUAUCAGGAGGAACACCGGGGGCGAAGGCGGCCUGCUGGACUGCAACUGACGUUGAGGCCCGAAAGCGUGGGGAGCAAACAGGAUUAGAUACCCCAGUAGUC